rnacentral:tRNA from 1 species
AGCCACUUAGCUAUAUUUAAGUGAAUGUUUUGAAAGCAUUAGAAAUUUUAUUUUAGUGGCUU